GCUGCACAGUGCUGUCAUCUUGUGUUUUCUGCUGCAACGCAAUGAGGAGUAUGACCGGUCCAAGAUGGCGGCCUCAUUUCUUGUUUCCAGCAGCCAAUGCGGCGUCUAUGUAUAUUAUGUCUAUGAGUCCUUCAGCAACAAGGGGUUGAUGGCUUGCUUGACGGCACGCUUUGCGUUACAGGAAUAGGCCUACCAACCUACGUUCAGUGUAAUACUUCUGCCGUUCAGGCACCGAUUUUAUAUUUGAACAUUUUCUCAUAGACAUUACAUAUAGGCUUUACAGUGGUUUGGUUGGUAGGUUUUAAACGUAUUUUUUUGUUUUACUACGGAAGAUCGACUCACUCAACUUGCUAACGUAACGUUACAUUUGGAUCUAGAUGCGGAGCAGCAGAACUACCACACCAGAAGCUCGUGGAUCAGCUCAGAAGGAGAGAGAGAAGAAUGAGUAAUCACAGCCUUGACCAUGAAGCAAGGACCAUGAAGGGAUGGCCAUCGAAAAGAAAUACCUGUAUAGUAAACGUCAUCACGUAGCACAGUGGUCAUGGGAAAUGUAGGAAGUACUGCCAGGGGGAUAUAUGACCAAGAACAGAGCCUAAUGCAUCAUGCAUGUAAUGCCUCAUGCAUCACAGGCCAAACUGGCUAGUAAGUUUUUAUUAACACCCGCCAAAAUAAAUUUGAACCCCGCAUUUGGUGGGUGUUAAUUUAGAACCCUGCUUAUAUCACUGACAACAGUAGUCCAGCCAAGAUAUUGUCAUUUAAAAAGUGAAGUUGCAGCCCUCAA